AUGGCGAAUGGUUUUACGCUCUCACAAAACAUCGUGCCUUCCUGUUUUUGCCCAUGCUCCUCUUUUGUACUUUUCCCAUAUUUUGCCGCCCUCACGGACUCCAGCCCACAGCAGCCCAGCCCUUCUGUGUUGACGACACAUACACAGUUCCGGCCGAGUACGGUUUCCCGCCGUGGACGUCCCAGGGCUCGCCUGCUCGGCCAGCCACGAGCUAGGCUUCCAAUCCAGGACUGCGAACUUCGGGGCCACGUCUUCUACGUCUUUGUGUUCCUGAUGCACCGCUGCCCAGCCUCACGCUCCUGAGUCACACGUAACAUAGAGGAGAUUUUCGGUACGUGCGGAAUAAGGACAUCAAGGAGGAGGAAGACGCACGGGGCAGAGGACAGCACGUGCAAAGACGCGGAAGAGGGGAAAUGGAGGCAUUUGUCUGGACAGCCCAUGCACGAAGGCACAGGACUUAAGGCAGAGACUGAAGACGGCAGCCCACAGCCAGCUCUUCCUGUUAAAGCAGAACUUCCCUUCCAGUGAGGGAUGAAUGCUUGUCGUCCUUCAUACAUCCUCCUCAGCACCUGCCUCCUCUCCCGCCCCGGAGAAGACAAGAAGACCAGCGUGGCCACAGGUGUGGCGCGAGGUCAGGAACAGAACCAAUUCCUCCGCUGUCGCCGUCCGCAGCUUAUGGCUAAUGGCUGGCAAAUGCAGGGACACACCAGGCGAAUGCUUUGCGAAUCUGGUUCCCGUUAAGGCGCCGGUAGAGAAACCCAGGAGGUCCUCGUGGUGAAAUCAGACCAGAUGUGAGUAGAUUGACGAACGUCCCCCGAAACAGAAGGAGCCCCACGGUCCUGACAUGCCUACAGGGUUCGAAGAGACCCACAGUUCCCUUGGGGUGGGGGUGGGGGUGGAGGUGGGGUCAUGUUCCCGAAAGAAUAUCAAGUCACACCAUCAAAUAGCAAAUGCCUCGCCACGACGGGAGCCGAAGAGCAGCCCAAUUUCCCAACAAGAAGCAGGCCACCGGUCGUAUCACAACACGGUGAC
rnacentral:lncRNA from 1 species